GCUGCUUUGUUUACCCAAGCAAGCCUGGGCAAUGGCGGGCGCCCCUCCCCCAGCCUUGCUGCGGCCUUGCAGUUUGAUCUCAGACUGCUGUGCUAGCAAUCAGCGAGACUCCGUGGGCGUAGGACCCUCCUAGCCAGGUGCAAGAUAUAAUCUCGCGGUGCGCCGUUUUUUAAGCCGGUCCGAAAGCGCAAUAUUCGGGUGGGAGAGACCCGAUUUUCCAGUGAGAUGAACCCAGUACCUCAGAUGGAAAUGCAGAAAUCACCCGUCUUCUGCGUCGCUCACGCUGGGAGCUGUAGACCGGAGCUGUUGCUAUUCGGCCAUCUUGGCUCCUCUCCUGCACUGCAAGAAUGGACUAAUACGCUAUGUGAAGACAAAGGGGAUGUCUGCAAGCCAGGACGAGUGCGUCUACCAGAAACUGAGUUCUGCUGGACUUUGAUCUAGGACAUCCAGCCUCCAGAAUGGAAUGUGCCAUAUGUGGAGACCUGCAUGGAAAGGAACUGAGGAUGCUCUCUCACUAAAAGCUAGAAGGAACUGAGGCCCUCAGUCAACAGUCUACAAGACACUGAAUCUUGCCAGCAGCCAAGCAGUGAGCUUGAAAGCAGAUCUAUCAUCAGCUGAACCUUCAGAUGAGACCGCAGCCUAAGCAGAUACCUUGGUUGCAGCCAUGUGAGACAACCUGAAACAGAGGGCACAGCUAAGCCUCAGCCAGGUUCAUGACCCUCUGAGGAAACUGUGAGAAAGCAAAUGUCAUUUUAAGCUAUUUAAUUUUGGAGGUAGUUUAUUACACAACAAUAAAUAACUAUUAUAAUUAUCUUGAGGAUUUAUUUCCUGGGGAGAAUACAUGGAAUUGCAUAUAUAGGUCCUCAUAUGCAGAAUACUGGUACCCUAGAGAUGUUCACCCCAGAGAUGUUUUAGGAACCUGUGAAUAUGUUACAUUAAAUGGCAAAGUUUUCCUGGAUGGUUUAAGUUUAAGAUGGAAAAGUUUUACUGGAUUAUCCAGUGGGUCCAAUCUAGUAACAUGAGUCCUUAAAAAUGGAGAAUAUUUUUUGGCCAUGAUCAGAGAGACAUGUGAUGAUGGAAAAAGUGUCAGAGAUGCAAUGUGAGGGGACUAAAACUGCUGUUGCUGACUUUAAAGAUGGAGAGAGGGGAACCCGAGUCAAGGAAUGCAAAUGGCCUCUGGAAGCUGGAAAAAGCAAGAAAUGGAUUCUCCUUUAGAGCCUGUGGAAUAAAAUGCAGUCAUGCUGACACCUUGAUUUUACCUCAGUGAGACCAAUACUGGAGUAUGACCUUCGGAGCUGAAUAAAAUUAUACGUACACAUCUUAAUUUCUUGGGAUUUGAUUACUUCUUCUGCUUUGAAAUUAGACCAAGUUUAGCCUGCCUUUGCUAUUUUGGCGUAUCUCCAAUUCUUCAUGAUUUUCUCAUUGUUGCCUCCAUAUGAUGCAAAAUAUCCAACCUAGCCCUGACAUGAAAACUUAAUUGAAAGUAUCCAACAGUGGCGCAAAGGCCACAUAAGGACAGUGAGAAGGCAGCCACCUGCAAGCCAGGAAGAAAGGUCUCACCAGAUACCAACCCUGCCAGCAUGUUGAUCUUGGACUUCCAGCCUCCAAAACUGGCCUUCUGCUCACAUGGGCUUCCGUGCACCUGCUUCAGGAGACAGCAACACUUGCGCCCGCACCGCGGCAGGCUCCCAUCACCUGGUGGAUAUGCCGCGCCGAGUCUCAUCACACCUUAGUGAAGGAACACAUGGACCCAUAUGUUAGCGGAUGUAUUUACAUCGUUUUAUACAGAAAGGGGAAGAAAACUGCAUACCUCAGAAAGGGGUUGCUCCUCACUCUGAGUACUAGACUAAAGAUAAAAAGACUAGAUAAAAGUACUAGACUAAAGACAGAGCUGACCCAUGACAGAUGGAGUCUUGCUCUGUCACACAUGCUAGAGUCCAGUGGUAUGACCUCAGCUCACUGCAAUCUCUGCCUCCCGGGUUCAAAUGAUUCUUCUGCCUUGACCUCCCUGGCAGCUGGGACUACAGGCCUGCACCACCACGCCUGGCAAAUUUUUUAAUUUUUUUUAGUAGAGAUGGGGUUUCACCAUGUUGGCCAGGCUAGUCUCGAACUCCUGACCUCAAAUGAUCUGCCCGCUUUGGCCUUCCAAAGUUCUGGGAUUAUAGGAGUGAGCCACCAUGCCCAGCCUGUUCUUAAGUCUCCUAGAACAGGGAUUCUGAAACACAAAACUCAUCUGGCAAAGAGUUCUAAGAUGCAUUUCACAGCACUCCACAGAAGGAAGGUUCAGAGCCAAUCAUCUGCACCAGUGCCCAACUUAAAAACAUCCUUGUAUCAGUUUUCCCUUAUUUCCUGUUCUCCUCCCUAAACCUUCAGUCCUGUUCCUGGCAAUCACUUCCAGAAUAAACCAUAUACAUGCCUCAGAUUCUGAUCUCAGAGGAUCCCAGACUAAUACAGAGAUACACUAUGCUGAUUGCUUAACCCGCAUUUUCUCAUUUAAUUGAAACAUAUACGUGGUAAGGUAUUUAUUCAUACCUGCAUGAUUUUGUAGAUAAACCUUAGAGAAAUUAAUACUUUUCAGAAGGCAAUUAAAGUAACACAGCAAGCAAUUGAUAAAACCUGGAUUCGCCAAGUUAAACUGGUCUGGUUUCAAAACCUGUAUUGUUUCCUAACAUACCACCUAAAUUCUCAAAUGGUAUUGGAAGGGGUUAAAUGAGAUUAUAAAUGUAAAAUUCUUGGUAUAGUUAAUUCUCAAAAAUAGGCCUUCAAUCUAUAGAAUCCAUUUGUAGAACUAUCUUCAGGAAGGAAAAAUACAUCACCCUCCACCCCACCCUCAAAGAAACAUGGAAAAUUUAAACUAAGACUUCAAAUCUUGAGCUCUGCACAUCUUAGAAUAUUUUGUUUCUAUGAAAAAGAAGCUUUGGAGAAUGUGUAUCAGUCUGAAACACUGUAGUGUGAGCACAGAAAUCAGCCCAUCACAUUAUGCCCCAAAUGCUGAAGUACGGCUGAAUCUGAUUGCCCUGCAUUUUUAAGUACUGCAAAAUUCUGGGACUUGGGAUCAUCUGUUACUACAGACUUGUCAUAUUCCACUGAAAUAAAACAUAUAGUCUAAUUUGCAAAGUUCUCGUGUGGAAAGAGUCCUAAAAUGUAUAUAACCUCUGUCCCAGCAAUUCCAUUAGGAAUUUAUCCAAUCCAAAAUCUAAAAUGCAGAAGAUCUACAUAUUGAAUGCUUAUGGCAGCAUUCUUUAAAAUUAUGAAAAUUGAAAGCAACCAAAAUCCUCAAAAACAGACUAAUGGCUAAGUAGUAUAACCAUACUAUGAAAUGUGGUAAUUGAAUAUUCAAAUUUGUGUUGUAUAAAAAAUUAAUAAUGGUAUAACAUUUGGCUAUAAAAUAGAAUGAAUUCAAUUGUAUUUUUUAAACCAGUACAUCUGCAUAUUUGUGAACCUAAAAGAUAAGACGGUAAAUAUUUAACUGUAUUUUUCUUUAAUUGUUGGGGCUGUGAAUUAUUUUAAUUUUCUUAAUGCUUUUUAAUCUUCUCUGAAAAUUUUAUAAUAAUCUCUAAUAAUAAUUUAUAGCAAAAAAACCCAAAAUUUUAAAGGGUAUUCUUUUUGUAUUUUUAUCAAGAAUAAAAAUAUAUAUCAAU
rnacentral:lncRNA from 10 species